UAAAAGUCGUAACAAGGUUACCUUCUGCAGCUGAGCUUCGGAGACCUUGCAACCCUAUAGGGAGGCAGCACGACAGUAAAUAAAGCUGACCGCUUGCAAGUUGGCCGCGAGGCCAGCAACACAAUCGAACUGACGGGGAACUCCUCAAGCCUACAACACCAACCGCCCGGGGAAACCCGGGCGGGGCCCUCACGGGGUGGUAAUAGCGUGUAGGAUACGUGGACGAUCCGCAGCGGAGCCCCUACCGGCGAGAGCCCACGGGGAACGCCCACAGACUAAGUGGUUGUGGGCCAGGCACUGUGCCUGGUCUAAGAUAUAGUCGGUCCCGGCUUGAAAGAGCCGGGGAACAGCGUCCGUAGGUGAACCUGCGGAAGGAUCAUUACAGAGUUCAUGCCCUUACGGGUAGAUCUCCCACCUUUGAAUACCUUACCUUUGUUGCUUUGGCGGGCCACGUCCGCGUGCCGGCUUCGGUUGGUUGCGCCCGCCAGAGGACCCAAACUCGUUUGUUUAGUGAUGUCUGAGUACUAUAUAAUAGUUAAAACUUUCAACAACGGAUCUCUUGGUUCUGGCAUCGAUGAAGAACGCAGCGAAACGCGAUAAGUAAUGUGAAUUGCAGAAUUCAGUGAAUCAUCGAAUCUUUGAACGCACAUUGCGCCCCCUGGUAUUCCGAGGGGCAUGCCUGUUCGAGCGUCAUUAUGACCACUCAAGCCUGGCUUGGUGUUGGGGUCCGCGGUCCCGCGGCCCUUAAAAUCAGUGGCGGCGCCAUCUGGCUCUCAGCGUAGUAAUACUCCUCGCUACAGGGUCCCGGUGGCUGCUUGCCAGCAACCCCCCAUCUCACGGUGACCUCGGA
rnacentral:rRNA from 1 species